rnacentral:rRNA from 1 species
GACGAACGCUGGCGGCGUGCUUAACACAUGCAAGUCGAACGGACCUUCGGGUUAGUGGCGAACGGGCGAGUAACACGUGGGUGAUCUGCCCUGCACUUUGGGAUAAGCCUGGGAAACUGGGUCUAAUACCGGAUAGGACCACGCAUUUUAUGGUGUGUGGUGGAAAGCUUUUGCGGUGUGGGAUGGGCCCGCGGCCUAUCAGCUUGUUGGUGGGGUAAUGGCCUACCAAGGCGACGACGGGUAGCCGGCCUGAGAGGGUGACCGGCCACACUGGGACUGAUAUACGGCCCAGACUCCUACGGGAGGCAGCAGUGGGGAAUAUUGCACAAUGGGCGCAAGCCUGAUGCAGCGACGCCGCGUGAGGGAUGACGGCCUUCGGGUUGUAAACCUCUUUCGCCAGGGACGAAGCGCAAGUGACGGUACCUGGAGAAGAAGGACCGGCCAACUACGUGCCAGCAGCCGCUGUAAAAC